UACGGAGGAUGCAAGCGUUAAUCGGAAUUAUUGGGCGUAAAGGGUGCGCAGGCGGUUUUGUAAGUCAGAUGUGAAAUCCCCGGGCUUAACCUGGGAAUUGCGUUUGAAACUACAAGACUAGAGUGUGGCAGAGGGGGGUGGAAUUCCAUGUGUAGCAGUGAAAUGCGUAGAGAUGUGGAAGAACAUCGAUGGCGAAGGCAACCCCCUGGGUUAACACUGACGCUCAGGCACGAAAGCGUGGGGAGCAAACAGG
rnacentral:rRNA from 1 species